CAUUAAUUAGUUCCACAUCAUUGUACUUUGUAGGUUGUUUUUGUUUUUGUUUGUUUCCUGCCUCCUGGGACUAUUACAUCAGUUUUACUUGCGUUUUAGGUGCUCAACAUACAAACUAAACAAUGGUUCCUCCAAGAAGUGUCUUUCGGGCGUCUAUUUCGCCAUUUCGGAGACGUGAAAGUCGACCGGACUCUCGGUGCUUGGCUGCAUUUGUCUACUAACAGGUGUCUUGAGGCCAGUGUCUCUGAGGGAAGUCGACGGCAGAUACAAGGACGGCGCAAACUCCACAGAUCUCCGGUAAAUACAGAACUCCACUGUGUAGGACUCAAAUGCGUUGGGUGGAACCUGGAGAGAUCGGCAUGAAUAUUCUGCCUGGAACAUAUUUUCCUGCCUGUGCGGAGAGACUCUGCUGAGAGUCACUGGAGGAGAGAGAAAAGAAAAUUGUACAGGUGGAUAAAGAGCUGUUUUCCUGAAAAAAUGUAUACAAAUUAGAUAUAUUUCAGGACUGCAAUCUGUUUGUGGCGUGAUGUGUGGGUCUCAAUGUCUCAUUCGCAUAAAGUGUGUUAGUGUAUUUGUAAUAGACACUGAAAGAAAGAGGAAUCAUGUCACGAGAGAUGAAGUCGUGUAAAAAUACAAAAAAAAAAAAUCUUAGGUAGCCUCUAUUUGGCUUUUUGUGCAUUUUCAUGACUAUUUACAUUAUAGAUUGUCACUGAAGGCACCAAAACGAUGAAUGAACACAUCUGGAGUUAUGUACUUAACAAAAGAAGGUGGAAUAACUGAAAACAUGUUUUAUAUUCUAGUUUCUACAAAAUAGCCGCCCUUUGUUGCUCUGAUUACUGUUUUGUACACUCUUGGCAUUUUCUCGAUGAGCUUUAAGAGGUGGUCACCUAAAAUGGUUUUCA